rnacentral:tRNA from 1 species
GGAGAGAUGGAUGAGUGGUUUAAGUCGCACGCCUGGAAAGCGUGUUUAGAGGCAACUCUAACGGGGGUUCGAAUCCCCCUCUCUCCG